AAUAACAAAGCUAACUAAAAUAAAUUUUUGUUAAAAGAAGGUAAUACUUAUUUUGUUUUUACAGGUUCAAGGAAAAGUCAGUGGAAGUCGUUAUCCAUGUCAACAUUGAACCAAAAGAAAAAAUACACUGACAAUCAAUGAAAAGAUUCAAGCGGUUGACACUGAACUAUCAGCUUGACUGUUUAAAUCAGAUUUUUCAUGGACAUAGCACGUGGAGUUCCUUCAGAACAAGUUUAACAGGUCAGAAUUUGGUAUCAGAGCCUGAUCAGAGUCAGAAAUGCAUUCACACAAAGAGGGAGCCUCGUGUGCAGCAUUGGAGCACAAAAGUGGGCAGAGAAACAUUUAAGUGGUGGAGAUGGAAGAAGAAAAUCAACCUGGAUGAGACCCCAGACAGACUGAGGAGAACAUCCAUCCAAAGAUUAUUGACCUAUGCGCUUCAUUAUCAGGUUUGAUAAUUUCCAAAGUGAGUCCUGCAUGAAACCCAAGAUAUCAAGAAAACAGGUCAUACUGGAUUGAGUGAUUACCAAUAAAAACUGAAUGGAUAAGUUAAUAUAAGAAGUAAACAGUAAGAAAAUAGGCAUAAAAAGGAAUGAGUAUUAUACUGAAGAAAAGGGAUAGAUUAGGGUCUAAAGGGCUCAAUAUCAUGGAAGAGUAGCUAUACCAAAUAAAUGUAAGGAAAGGAGAAUUAGGAAAGGAUGUGUCACAGAGUGAAAUUAGUUAUGUUACUGGGAAGUGUGGGAAUCCUUGGUUCUUGUCUAACCUGGAAUAAACAAUUCAGCCAAAAGAUGCAUAGCAAAGGUUAAGUAGCAGAGUUAAUUAAAGGAUGAUAAAGUACAUUCCUACAGAGGAGUGGAAAAAAUUUCUGGGCUGAUCCAGCUGGACAAAUAGUAGUAGCAGUAUUUAUUUAAAGAGACAGUACACUCUGCAAGAUGAGACAGAAAAAAUUUGGGAUUGUUGCAAUUCUCAAACAUUAGAUGUGUGAAUGAAGUUGAUAGACCAAAAAAUAAUCAUAAUAAAAAGUAG
rnacentral:lncRNA from 1 species